CCUACGGGCGGCUGCAGUGAGGAAUAUUGGUCAAUGGGCGCUAGUCUGAACCAGCCAAGUAGCGUGAAGGAUGACUGCCCUAUGGGUUGUAAACUUCUUUUAUAUGGGAAUAAAGUGUAGCAUGUAUACUGCUUUGCAUGUACCUUAUGAAUAAGGAUCGGCUAACUCCGUACCAGCAGACGCGGUAAUACGGAGGAUCCGAGCGUUAUCCGGAUUGAUUGGGUUUAAGGGGAGCGUAGGGGGGUUGUUAAGUCAGUUGUGAAAGUUUGCGGCUCAACCGUAACAUUGCAGUUGAUACUGGCAUCCUUGAGUACAGUAGGGGUAGGCGGAAUUCGUGGUGUAGCGGUGAAAUGCUUAGAUAUCACGAAGAACUCCGAUUGCGAAGGCAGCCUGCUGGACUGUAACUGACGCUGAUGCUCGAAAGUGUGGGUAUCAAACAGGAUUAGAUACCCGGGUAGUC
rnacentral:rRNA from 1 species